rnacentral:rRNA from 1 species
UACGGAGGGUGCAAGCGUUGUCCGGAAUUAUUGGGCGUAAAGAGCUUGUAGGCGGUUUGUCGCGUCUGCUGUGAAAUUUCGGGGCUCAACCCCGAACUUGCAGUGGGUACGGGCAGACUAGAGUGCGGUAGGGGAGACUGGAAUUCCUGGUGUAGCGGUGAAAUGCGCAGAUAUCAGGAGGAACACCGGUGGCGAAAGCGGGUCUCUGGGCCGUAACUGACGCUGAGGAGCGAAAGCAUGGGGAGCGAACAGG